rnacentral:rRNA from 1 species
UACGUAGGUGGCAAGCGUUGUCCGGAAUUAUUGGGCGUAAAGCGCGCGCAGGCGGCCUUCUAAGUCUGAUGUGAAAGCCCACGGCUCAACCGUGGAAGGUCAUUGGAAACUGAAAGGCUUGAGUACAGAAGAGGAAAGCGGAAUUCCACGUGUAGCGGUGAAAUGCGUAGAGAUGUGGAGGAACGCCGAUGGCGAAGGCAGCCCCCUGGGCCAACACUGAUGCUCAGGCACGAAAGCGUGGGGAGCAAACAGG